UCUACUUGUCAAUAUAAUCAGCCAUUCUCUUUCCAUUUUUCUCAACCAAAAAUCAGUUAACAAAAUUGGAAAUCACCCCUUGUUCCCUUCCUGUUCGAACCACAGUCACCACCAACCACCACCGUCAACCACCGCAGUCACCACACCCAGCCACCCCCGUCGCAAACUCAACCCAAUUCCCUCCACCCUCACCGCCUAGUCGUCAUCCUCCUUGCCUUUUCGUGCCCUGCUCUCCCCUUUUCCUCGUGCUUCCCCUGCCGUGUUUUCUUCUUCAGAAAACAAGUUCCUUUUAGGAACUUUGUUUUCAUUUACUCCUCCAGCCAAGGCCCAAUUCUCUUGGCCCAAUUUUUCAAUAAUUCAAACUCGAAGCUCGGGACGAACGAUCCAUCGAACAGGAAGUAUAAACUACGAUUGAGGUACGAAGAAGAUCAUGGGAUGCCUUAGAGUGAUGAUGCAACCAUCAAAUUCACGAUCGUUGUUUAGUAAAGAUAACUAUGUCAUUAGUAAUAAAGGGAUGUAUUAAUUAAACUCUAAGUUUGAUUUCAUGAUUUGAGUUAGAUUUUAAUAUUAAUGUUUAAUCAAUGCUAGAAGUAAUUAUUAUUAAAGUUUAUUUAGUAAUUUAAAAAGGUUAGGAAAAAUUAUUUUUUACCACCUAAAAAAAUCGAUAAAUUAUUUUUUACCACCUAAAAAAUAUAAACUUGUAUUUUACCACCUAAGAAAAAAAUAAAAGUUGUUAUUUACCACCUAAAAACGGAAAAAUUAAAGAAAUCGUUAUAUGAGGCAACUAUUCAUGUGAGUUAAGUUGUUUCUUGCUCUUUGUAUUGCACUGACUUUCAAAUUAAUGUUCAGUUCGAUUGAAUGUUGGUGAAUCUCUUCUUGAUGGAUAACACAACCAGGGUGGGCUGUGAAGAAUACUCAAGAAAUGGUGAAACUAUCUUUUAAGCUGUUGGAGCUUAUAACAUUUAGUUUAGGUGUCCCUGCAGACCCUCUUAGUGGCUAUUUCAAAGACCAUGCAUCCUUUGCUCGCAUUUACUAUCCACCUUGCCCCUGUCCUGAUCUGGCUCUUGGAGUUCGUCCUCACAAGGACUCUGGUGCCUUGACUGUCCUUGCACAAGACGAUGCUUUCAUUUUUUGAAUAGAUGAUUCAAGUCGAAACAACGUAACUCACAUGAGUUACCCCACAUAGCAAUUUUUUCGAUUUUUUCAAUUUUAGGUGGUAAAAAACAACUUUUAUUAUUUUUUUAGGUGGUAAAAUACAAGUUUUGUUUUUUUAGGUGGUAAAAAAUAAUUUUUUGAUUUUUUUAGGUGGUAAAAAACAAUUUGUCCAAAAAGUUAUGUCGCCUUGUAUUUCCCACGAGGGAGAUACGGCAUGUGACGCUCCGACUAAAGGGUUUUCGCUGCUAAUUAAAGUUAAUUAACCUAAUUAAUGGUGUUUAGAAGUCGGGGCGUUACAGGUGGCUUCUCUAGGGUUAGAGAAUGACGGCAAUGACCCCUUUUACCUUGCCCCUUGAAGGGUAUAUAUAGUGCUUUGUUGGGCCUUUGAGGCCUUAUAAGUGACAUUGGGCUUGAGUGGGUUUUAUUAGCUUUUUGGUUAAAAUGGUAUGCCCAUUUUAACACCCCAACAGAUGCUUAUGAGACUUAUGAUAUCAUGUUUAAUUCAUGAUUUUGCUAAUGCUUUAAUUGUUAUUUUUAUUCCAAUAUAGUCCAAGUCCAUGAGAAAUAAAAGGUAACAUUAAAAAAUGUGUAUGGAUAAAUAACAGUUAGUGAUUGGUUAAAAUGGUAAUGAGAGUCAUUCUCCAAACUUAAGAUCUUGUGUUCAAACUUUAUUAUAUUGAUUUUUAGUUGUCCCACAUAAACUUUCGUUGUAUAGGUUGGACGAGAAGUUGGGGAAGUAUUAAAAUUGAAAGCAAUUUUACUUGUUCGGCGACUCAAACCCAGGACCAUCUAUAUAUUAUAACAACACUUUAACCACUAAUCCGAUUAUAUUUUUAUGUAUAUUUAGGAAACUAAUUAGACUAAUCACUAAUGAGUGUACUAGAAACCUAGAAUUUUUGCUGAACCAUGCAAUUAAAAUUGCGGAGAACUAUUUACACGCAAAGUAUGCUACACACCGAAUUGCAUGGAGGAUCCGGCAAAUCUACCAUGGCCUUGUAUUAAGAGGAACCCUCAAUUUAUGGAACACACUUUUGUGAAAACUUUAACAGCUUAAAAACAAAGAGAAAGACGAUGGGAAAAAGAAACGUGAAUCUCGCA